UGGGUUGUUUUAAGGUGGAGAUAUGGUUCUUCUGUUGUAGUCAUGGGUUGUUUUAAGGUGGAGAUAUGGUUCUUCUGUUGCAGUCAUGGGUUGUUUUAAGGUGGAGAUAUGGUUCUUCUGUUGUAGUCAUGGGUUGUUUUAAGGUGGAGAUAUGGUUCUUCUGUUGUAGUCAUGGGUUGUUUUAAGGUGGAGAUGUGGUUCUUCUGUUGCAGUCAUGGGUUGUUUUAAGGUGGAGAUAUGGUUCUUCUGUUGUAGUCAUGGGUUGUUUUAAGGUGGAGAUAUGGUUCUUCUGUUGUAGUCAUGGGUUGUUUUAAGGUGGAGAUAUGGUUCUUCUGUUGUAGUCAUGGGUUGUUUUAAGGUGGAGAUAUGGUUCUUCUGUUGUAGUCAUGGGUUGUUUUAAGGUGGAGAUAUGGUUAUUCUGUUGUAGUCAUGG